CUAAAAAGUUCUAAAAGU
rnacentral:tRNA from 1 species